UGGCUCAGAACGAACGCUGGCGGCAUGCCUAAUACAUGCAAGUCGAACGAGAUCUUCGGAUCUAGUGGCGCACGGGUGCGUAACGCGUGGGAAUCUGCCCUUGGGUUCGGAAUAACAUCUGGAAACGGAUGCUAAUACCGGAUGAUGACGUAAGUCCAAAGAUUUAUCGCCCAAGGAUGAGCCCGCGUAGGAUUAGCUAGUUGGUGAGGUAAAGGCUCACCAAGGCUACGAUCCUUAGCUGGUCUGAGAGGAUGAUCAGCCACACUGGGACUGAGACACGGCCCAGACUCCUACGGGAGGCAGCAGUAGGGAAUAUUGGACAAUGGGGGCAACCCUGAUCCAGCAAUGCCGCGUGAGUGAUGAAGGCCUUAGGGUUGUAAAGCUCUUUUACCCGAGAUGAUAAUGAC
rnacentral:rRNA from 1 species